UACGGAGGGGGCUAGCGUUGUUCGGAAUUACUGGGCGUAAAGGGCGUGUAGGCGGCCUGCCAAGUCAGAUGUGAAAGCCCCGGGCUUAACCUGGGAACUGCAUUUGAGACUGGCCGGCUAGAGGUUGGAAGAGGAGAGUGGAAUUCCCAGUGUAGAGGUGAAAUUCGUAGAUAUUGGGAAGAACACCAGUGGCGAAGGCGGCUCUCUGGUCCACACCUGACGCUGAGGCGCGAAAGCGUGGGGAGCAAACAGG
rnacentral:rRNA from 2 species